UGGGGGAUAUUGCACAAUGGGCGAAAGCCUGAUGCAGCGACGCCGCGUGGGGGAUGAAGGCUUUCGGGUUGUAAACCUCUUUCGCUAUCGAACAAGGCUCAUUUUUUGGUGGGUUGAGGGUAGGUGGAGAAGAAGCGCCGGCUAACUACGUGCCAGCAGCCGCGGUAAUACGUAGGGCGCGAGCGUUGUCCGGAAUUAUUGGGCGUAAAGGGCUUGUAGGCGGCUUGUUGCGCCUGCUGUGAAAACGCGGGGCUUAACUUCGCGCGUGCAGUGGGUACGGGCAGGCUUGAGUGUGGUAGGGGUGACUGGAAUUCCAGGUGUAGCGGUGGCAUGCGCAGAUAUCUGGAGGAACACCGAUGGCGAAGGCAGGUCACUGGGCCAUUACUGACGCUGAGGAGCGAAAGCAUGGGUAGCGAACAGG
rnacentral:rRNA from 1 species